rnacentral:rRNA from 1 species
GGCGGCACGCUAAGACAUGCAAGUCGAACGUAACGACACUAGCUUGCUAGAUGGGCGACGAGUGGCGGACGGGUGAGUAACGCGUANGAAUCUACCUAGUAGUGGGGGAUAGCCAAGGGAAACUUUGGGUAAUACCGCAUACGAUCUACGGAUGAAAGGGGGCCUCUCUUUGAAGCUCUCGCUAUUAGAUGAGCCUGCGUAAGAUUAGCUUGUUGGUGGGGUAAUGGCCUACCAAGGCGACGAUCUUUAGCUGGUCUGAGAGGAUGAUCAGUCACACUGGAACUGAGACACGGUCCAGACUCCUACGGGAGGCAGCAGUCGGGAAUAUUGGACAAUGGGCGAAGAGCCUGAUCCAGCAAUGCCGCGUGGGUGAAGAAGGCUUGAGGGUUGUAAAGCCCUUUCAAGCAGGGAGGAAAAGCGUACGGUUAAUACCCGGGCGUCUUGACGUUACCUGCAGAAGAAGCACCGGCUAACUCCGUGCCAGCAACCGCGGUAAUACGGAGGGUGCAAGCGUUAAUCGGAAUUACUGGGCGUAAAGCCCGCGUAAGCGGUCCGAUAAAUCCGAUGUUAAAGCCCCGGGCUCAACCUGGGAAUUGCAUUCGAUACUGUCCGGCUAAAG